GUCCACAUUUUUGCUCCCUCCCAGCUCCCUGCCAGUCAGUCCACAUUUUUGCUCCCUCUCGGCUCCCUGCCAGUCAGUCCACAUUUUUGCUCCCUCCCAGCUCCCUGCCAGUCAGUCCACAUUUUUGCUCCCUCCCAGCUCCCUGCCAGUCAGUCCACAUUUUUGCUCCCUCCCGGCUCCCUGCCAGACAGUCCACAUUUUUGCUCCCUCCCGGCUCCCUGCCAGACAGUCCACAUUUUUGCUCCCUCCCGGCUCCCUGCCAGUCAGUCCACAUUUUUUGUUCCCAACCAGCUGGGAGGGAGCAAAAACAUGGACUUUCUGUGGGGUCCCCAAAGAACAGACUGGGAAACACUGCUUUAAGUACACUGUAGUAGCAGCCAUCACAAAUGACGCCGUUAAAACCCAACAAUACUGAUAAACACGGUCAGAUCAGACACACUGCUGCCCAUACACAUAAAUGUGGCAACCAGGAGAAUGUAAUGGGUUAAAUUGUCGAGCCAAGGCAAGCAGCCCUUCAUCACUUUGUUUUUAAAUAGCAUGCACUCGGCUAUAACAUGCAGCAGAAUUGGCACCAGCGGGAUGUAGAGGCCGGUCUGAUUUAGCCUUGUAUCUCUUUAAGCUCACCCAAGGCACAAGGUGUGUUCAGUGCUACAUCUGCCUAUUCUCAGGGCCCCAAGGGUCAAUGAAAUCCUGCCUGUACAGCAGAGGAGUGGAAUACAUUAUAGGUGCUAACUACCAUGAGAUUAUUGUCACUUUUUUUUGGCCCUGGUCUUUGAGAAGUGGUGCUCAACCUCUCGCAGCCUGUUAUGUCAUCAAAGCCGUCCAGCAAAUCAAUUUUUCAUGCCACAAAGUCAGGAUUUAAAAAAAAAAAAAAAAACUUUCCCCAAAAGUGCACCGCAUGUGAUCUCUCGUUCCAGAAAAGCGGACAGGCUGGUUCGCGUCGCCAUUAAACGCAUUGGCAUCCGCCAACCCCGGAGGCACUAGGACCCUGUGUGCGAACGGCCACAAGCGGGUCUGUUUUGGCUGCAGUGAGUGGAUCUUCCACAUCACAUGUGCAAGGUGCGGGAGCCGAAUCCCACGGCCGUGUGCGAAGUCUGAACGUCCUCCCAAUAUUGUGCCUCUGAGUCCAAAGACAGGCAGGUGACUGUUCCGGCAACAGCCUCUGACACAAUAACAAAAAAAAAAAAAUGCUAUAAAAAACAGCAACGUCUGUCCGGUUGUGUUAUGAGGCACCAGCACGAGAUGAGGUACGGUGAUCUCAAAUGCCAACUGGAACACCACGCAUGACACUUGUGCUUCUGAGUUUAGUAGAUAAGUUUCUGAGAAUGCAUUUAGUCACGUUUUUUUGCAUGUGCUGAGCAGUGAAGGUUUUAAAUAGGACAAGAUUUGGGGGGGUGGAGUGGAUGGGUAUGGGAGGGGUGAGUUUAGGGGACAAACCCUUCAAUUCACCUGCAACCAGUUAGUAAUUGUUUACAGACGGUUCAUUCUGUCUUUGUGGGAGAGCCGGGAAACAAUGCUUGUUCAUGUCUGUUUGUUAACGUCCAAGAUAUUUGUAUGUCUUUUGGUUCUGAAACCCUUUGGACCCCAUUUGGGUGCCGAGAAAAUUUCUCUGCUCCAUUCUCCAUUCUUCAAGCUACAAAUACAUUCAAACGGCCAUGGUUCUCUCUUUGAAAAGGCUGUAUCCAUCCGACUAUAGCUGUAUGGCUAGAAGAAAUCAAUGUAAUCGAUAAUUAUGGGAUUGAAUAGAAGAUUGCAUAAAAGAUCUAAGAUUGUCAACUGAAUUGGUUUUACUGUGAUUAAGCCGACACAUUCUGCAAAAUUUCUUACCAUUUUACACGGGAGACUCUACGAAAAUAACAAAACCAUACAUAAGCAAAACAGAGUAAAUGAAAAUAUGGCUGAUGACACAUUAGUUUGCAUUAAAGAAUGAAAGAAUAUGUCAUGGGUUAAGUCAAUAUUUGGCGUCCCCACACCUUAAGAAUGGCCUUUCAGACUGACUUGCUUCACUACUAUUCAUCAAAUCAAAUCACUUUUAUGGCCAAAUCACUAGAAUGAGGGAACUAGUGAGUGAAAGUCUUGGGUUACAAGUUCCUAUCAGCAGCGCGGUAGAUUAAAAAAACACAAAAUGUAAGUAUAUUAACUGUACAACAGUGAACUGCAUGUAAACUGUACAUAAAUCAACUGUAAUAUGUAACAAUAAUAUGUAGCUCUACAUAUGCACAAAUGCAAGUGUAAUACACAUACCAUACAGUAUAUAGACAGUAUGCAUUCAGCAUGCCAUGGACAGACAGACAGACUGUAGGUGUAAUACAGUACAGUUUAAUAAAGCAAAGACAUUCACCAAUCUUGGUCAAAAGAGGAUAUCUCCGCAUCUUUAUACACGUCCGGGUUUGGGCGCGUCUUGUUAGCCAAAGGGCAGGACUCUGAAAGCAAAAGGGCCUGUACUUCUCAGUAGGAUGCAACUCACCAGUACAGCUACUGUCCACGAACAGGCUAUAUGCACAGAGCCUCUUGGGUGGGGCGUGACCGGAAGAUGGACAGCUCUGCCAGUACCGGAACCAACGGGUGUGAGCUUGUGAAUGAAGACGAUCAAUUCAUUCGGGGAAAUGAAUCCUUCCCGUCCCGCUGGCGUGAAAUACAGUAAAGGUUACAGGUCCUUAUCUCUGCGUCUGGGAUUUCAGCAGAGCGAUGAAGCACUGUGCUGGAACACACAGCUGAAUGUUAACAUCGGCUGUAGGUUCUGGCUCUUGGCUCUGCAUGAGUGGCGUUUACAUUUUAUAAUUUUACUUUGUGGGUUUCCUCUGCUAUUCUGGUUCCCUCCCACAGUCCAAAAGACCGGUUUUUAGGCAAAUUGGCAUCUCAGGCGUGCACACAGGUGUACACACAGGUACUCACAGACACACACUGUCUUAAUCAGCUGUUGCUUCUUAACAUGUUCAUUGUGACUCGUACAGAUGUUGGUUGUUGUUUUCUCUCUGCAGCAGGUAUUGAAGAAGAUUAUCUGUGUUUUUUCCCUCCCUCUCUCUCUCUAUCUCCCUUCUUCUCCGUUUUCUUCCUUCUUUCCCCCUCUCUCUCCAUCUCCUUCUCGAGGAAAUAAAUAAAAA